rnacentral:rRNA from 1 species
GAUGAACGCUGGCGGCGUGCUUAACACAUGCAAGUCGAACGGAAAGGCCACAGCUUGCUGUGGUACUCGAGUGGCGAACGGGUGAGUAACACGUGGGUGAUCUGCCCUGUACUUCGGGAUAAGCUUGGGAAACUGGGUCUAAUACCGGAUAGGAAUCACAUGUGGGUGUGUGGUUGGAAAGCUUUUGCGGUAUGGGAUGAGAUCGCGGCCUAUCAGCUUGUUGGUGGGGUAAUGGCCUACCAAGGCGUCGACGGGUAGCCGGCCUGAGAGGGUGUACGGCCACAUUGGGACUGAGAUACGGCCCAGACUCCUACGGGAGGCAGCAGUGGGGAAUAUUGCACAAUGGGCGCAAGCCUGAUGCAGCGACGCCGCGUGGGGGAUGACGGCCUUCGGGUUGUAAACUCCUUUCGUCAGGGACGAAGCGAAAGUGACGGUACCUGGAUAAGAAGCACCGGCUAACUACGUG